AAAAUGGAAGACAGGGAAUUCCAGGGCAACAGGGAAUUCAAGGCCAUCAUGGUGCAAAAGGAGAGAGAGGUGAAAAGGGAGAACCUGGUGUCCGAGGUGCCAUUGGAUCAAAAGGAGAAUCUGGGGUGGAUGGCUUGAUGGGGCCCGCAGGUCCUAAGGGGCAACCUGGGGAUCCAGGUCCUCAGGGACCCCCAGGUUUGGAUGGGAAGCCCGGAAGAGAGUUUUCAGAACAAUUUAUUCGACAAGUUUGCACAGAUGUAAUAAGAGGAAGAGAUGG
rnacentral:lncRNA from 1 species